GCCGAAAAUACAAGAAAAAGAAAAGAGAAAAAGAGUUCUAGGGUUCGGCACUUACAUUGGCUAAUUAGAUCAAGAAUUAAAGAAAUCGGACCUGGAUCGGGGGAAAACAAAAGUCAUUGAUUAAUCAUUCCGUUCCGGUUUAUCGCUGUCCGAGCUAAUUAUGGGCUCGGGGAUCGUCAGUGAAAUCAGCCACACUAUCGUCCGUUAUCGGUAUCUAUAAAAGUUAAACUUAAACCUAUGGCAUGUAUAGAUGAUACCACCUUUUUGAAUAUAUUUUGAAUGAUGUAUAUAUAUAAUAAGCCAUGCGAAAAUGGCUUGUUUAUUUUGAUAUGUAUAGUUUCAUGCUUUGAUCAAAUAUUAUGGUUGGUGAUUUGGCUAUGUUUCGUAAAUGGUUGUGAUAGACAAGUAAAGUUGAUUGAUAUGAUAUGAUAUUGUGUGAGCUAAGUUUAAGAUC